CUGUGUAAAACUGUUCAACCAAAGGUGUAGAUGUAUCGAUUUAUCCGUCAAUAUGUCAUAUCCUCAUAAGCUUUGAGCCAGAAUUUACUAUAAUGAGGUACCCAGUUUUCUGGUCACACCUGUGGGUGUUAUAAGGUUCCUCCUGAGUGAAAGUCGACUCACAGCCUGACAUGGGCUGAGUAUCUGGAUUUCCCCUCUUAUGCUGCAGUCAUUACCUGUAGUCUGUCCUUAGGGAGCCAGGGUUAGCCCCAAGGAGCCAUCAAUCAAAGCACAUUCCAGGAACAAACUCCUAAUGCUCCUAAGGCAUUAGGAGCAGUGUAGAAAAGGCCAUUGUGGGAGCAGCAGGAAUUGACAGGAGCCAUGUGACUUGACAAAUCUGGAAGGAUUAGCCUUGGGUCACCCACAGGGACUCAAGUAGUCACUCCCCAUUGAGUAGCCCAGCUUGGGGUUCCAAGGCUCAGGAGGAGAACCCAGCGGUUUUACACAGGUAGGUGACUUUGGAAAGGGCCUUUGGUUGUGCAGCCCCUCGUCACAAACUCUACAUGGAAGUGUGGCUGUGCUGUCCACCCACCCCACACAUUCUUGCAUGUAAUCAUUCAUGCUUCCACACACACGCAAGCUCUCCUCCCUAUAUAUGUGUACAUAUUUACCUUUUAUUUUCGAUAUUCUUUCUCCCAUGACAACGUUGGUAAUACCAAUAGGGAUAGAAGUUUUUUUCAGUUAAAGAGAUAGUCCUUUCCACUGUGUGAUGUCCAAUCCCUAAUUGUGCCUUUUGUCUUCUACCCCUGUUACCAUCCCUCCCUAAACUGAGAAAUAGAUGCCAAUUUUUUCCUGUGUGAUUGCAUCUCAUAUCUUGUGCAUAUGAAUGACAAUGUGGAAGUUUGUCUGCUUUCAGCCUUCUCUCUGACCCUACCAGGCUGAUAUGGAAUAAAACACACGUCCCUUGGCCUUUGCACAUGUGUGCAGAGUCAACAUCCAGCCAGAUCCUUUCCAUUUCCCCUGUUACAACUGCCUGGGGUGAUAGCAACAGGAUCAUUUGUUUACCAUGUCUCUUCAUUUUGGACACUUGGUUUCUGUUGUCCUCCUUCCCAUCUUCUUUUCUUUGAAAGAGAUCAGACCUUGUUGUCUGGGUAUUAAGUCCCAGUUCUGACAGGGUGAGGAUGUGUGACUGACAGGUACAUGGAGUAGAGUCUAUAUCCACCCUUAAACCAGCUGCUGAAUACAUUGAGAUGAAGCUGCCCCACCCCCGCCCAAGAAUGAUUUGCCGUCAUCCCCAGAAAUUCAUUGUGGUGGAUCUGUGUGCAGCCAGACUGCAGAUACCUGCUUCCCGUUCCUUUUCUAGCCAGAUGAGUUACCAGUCCUUCGAGCAUGUUUUAUUCCAUUAGAAUGAGGAGGAGCAAACAGCUUCACUUGGAUAUUUUGACAUACACUUUUCCAUAGUCAUACAGUACAGAUACCAGGAGAGAAGUUGUAUGAAUACAGACGCCCAAGGUGGGCUGGUUGUAGUUGUCAGUGAGCAGAAAGCCAAGAGUAAAUUAUCCCGUUUUUCAACGUACAUGUCUCCCGGAGAGCUGCUUCUUUAUGACAGCCUCAAAUAAUUUCAUGUAAUUGCCUAGAAAUGAGUAGGUUGAUUUUUACUCUGUAAUUUCUGUAGAAGUCAAAGAGACCCUAGAGAAUUGUCUUUACCAAUUCCAUGACCCCCUUCUUUUUUGUAGCCUCAUGGAGAUGAGUGGGAUUGCAGUCUACACAGUGUCCUACCAGGAUGAAGGCUGGUUGGUCACAGCUGCAUAUAUACAGCUAAAGGAAAGGGGGAAAUGUGGCCAAGACCACUUCAGAGAAGUCUUCCUGGGCAGAUUGCAUUUUUGCAUGUGUUUGGGGUAUUCCCCUUUUUAAUCAGUCCUGAAAUAGUAGCAGUUAGAUAUCUAUUAGAAUAUGCACCCAUUUUGGGGGAAGAAAAUGUAAUCAUUGUGCCUUAUUCUUGUCCAUAUCUGAUAAACAUUAGCACAUCCACAGAAGCACACACACCUCUAUGUGUUUUUCACAGCAGGUCUUCAGAUAGGAGCUGUCUACAAAUGGACCUAGGGUUGACAGGAGGAGAAUGGGUGUCUUGAGUGUCGAUCCUGGCUGUUCCUGUCUUACUUAGCCAUGCCUGAACCACCUCGCGCUUCCAGAAUGAGAACGGACCUCUGUCCAGGGCUUAGAGUGUGUCCUGCCUCCUUGUUCCCCGCCAGGUAACUUUGGGACACUGGUCACACUCGACCUGGUCCUAAAAGUUGGCCUGGGACUGACCUGUGCAAGUGCCCACGUCUGAAUGUUUCCUGGCUGGCAAAGGCUGGGGUGCAUUAAACCCUGUGCCCAGUCUAGAUCUUGUCCCUGAGGGCUCAAGCAGUCCCCAGUGGUCACAGUGUAGGUGGGGUUUGUGUUGGUUCCCAUGCCUUGCUAGGGGGACUGCAGGUGAACCCAUCCCUUUUGGUCAGGAAGGCAGGUGAAGGGGACCCUAGUGAGGCCAGGGUCAGGGCAGUGGGACAGCUCCUCCUCCCCAUGGGCGUGAGGAUGCCAUCUGCCAUGUUGGAGACAGCUUGGACAGUGGUUGGCGUUUUUUCCUCAGCCAAGGGUGGAGGGAGUGGACCUGGGGGAAGGGCAGGCGGGCAUUUGUGGUGCUACAGUGCCAUCCAGAGGAACAUGUUUUGUGUUCCCGGGAAGCCAGGCCUGAGGUUUCCUGGGGAGGAGUGGCUUGGGAGUGCAGUCAGGGUCCAGAAGGGACAGGGAAUGGGACCCAGGACAUAUCAGAGCUCUCUGGAGGCCUCAAGGAAUGGUGGCCCAUGGUAGGUGGGGACGUGGAAGCAGCAGAGACAGACAGCAGGCCGAGGUGGACAGCCAGACACCUCGCAGGCCUAUACAGGAAGUCUGGCUGUGAAACCCGGUGGCGGCCAUGUCUGGGCGGGACUAGUGGGAGCCUGCACUGGGGAGCUGAGGCUUGGGGCUGGAAGCUCCAGCUCCAGCCAGACACCUUGCAGGCCUAUACAGGAAGUCUGGCUGUGAAACCCGGUGGCGACCAAUUCUGGGCGGGACUAGUGGGAGCCUGCACUGGGGAGCUGAGGCUUGGGGCUGGAAGCUCCAGACCCAAGGCUCAGGAAAGCUUUCCUGGUGCCACUUCCCUUAGGAGCAAGGGACAGUAUGGCCUAGAUGGCUCCAUGUUCACACUGUAUCCUAGUGAAGAACCAUGGGUGCCUAGUUAUCUUCAGCCAUUGCCAACCGUGGUAGCCAGAGCUGAGAUGUUCCUUUCUCCUUGUUAGAAGACACAGUGGCCAGGCGUGGUGGCACUCCACAAGGCCCACACUCAGAUUGUCACUAGAGUACACCUCUGCUCCCAUUUUCUGUUAUGUCUAUUUCCCAAAUCAUUGGGCAAUUGCCUUGGAACCAGGCCACUCGCCUCUGUCAGUAUUUUAUGCCUCCGACCCUCCCUCAUUUGUGUGCUCUGAGCAUAGCAGGACCUUCACUCUGAGAUCAGGAGUGGAAAAAUGUCUACGGUGACAAACUUUAAACAAGGGAGACUCUGAGUUUCCACUGGCGAGGAGGGAUGUACCUAAACAAUCUAAAGUGCAGGCAGCCAAGUGCCUCCAGAAGGACGGAGCCGUUGGCUUUGGCCCAGAGAGAGACUGCUGUGUAGCAGAAGGGACAGGCAGGGCAGGCUCAGGUGCCAUGGCAAAUGGUGGUAUGUCCUGGUGCCUUCACCCUUGCAUUCCGCUCCAUGUCCUUAUGUGGCUCCAUGGGCAGCAUCAGGCUUGGUGGACUUGGAUUCCAGGGGUAGAGCUAGGAGUACAUGUCCCUUUGCAAGAUGCCAUCUAGAAAGGCAGAGGCUCUGGCCAUUGUCUUGUGUUUUCUUCUCCUUCCUAGAAGUUGAAUAACCAAUUUUUCAUGAAAGAGAGGUGCUUUUCCAAGCAGGUUUUGCUGAACUCCACUUUGUGUAAUUCAAGAGUGGGAAGGGACCCAGGAGACCCUCCUGGGGUCACAGGUGGGAUAUGUUUCUCAAGGGAGGGAGCGAAUGCAGGCAGAGUGUGGUGUUGGGCCUCCAAGGCCUGACUUUUUGGGAGAAGGGUAUCUUCCUUGGAGUGAAAAACGUUGCAAAGGACCUAAAACGGACAUGUCCUUCCCUCCCUCCAGAAUCCAAGAAGACCCUGAGGUGGACAUGUGUACACUUGUAUGCUUGUGUGCACCCAUACUGUGAAGAAACUUCCAUAAAAACACAGUUUGCAUGGUGUAUGUGGGCAACUUUCCCAGGACGAAGGGGAUAACCUCCCACUGUCUUGGCCUUGGGGAUCAGGGAUGGGGUUUUCUGGGUAGCUUCGAUGACUGAGGCAGCAGCAUCCACCAUGGAGGUGCUGGCAUUGGGUCUUGGGCUCUUUUGCAAUUUUGCUGACACCUCUCUGCGUGCUUGGAUGAUUACUAAUACCUUCGAUUUUAUCUGUCAUGACUUUGGCUCAGUAUCUUUAUGUGUGGUCCUGGAGAAAACAGAAGGUGUGCAGUUGCAUGCUUGCACACACAUAGGCAGUGACAGUAGGGCAUCACAGAGACAGAGAGAGAGAGAGAGAGGAUGACAGGGAGGAGGAGUGAGCACAUGGGUGUGGGGAGAGAGAAAGAGACAGACAGGAGAAAACAGGUUGCUAUGGGGAAGACCACACAGAUUUUGGGGGACCAAGGUGGGGUCAUGAGCACAGAAGCUGCAGCUGGGGUGUCCACUGUUCCUUCUAUUUACUGUGUCUUAUUUACACAGUAGUGUUCCUGGGCAGUGUGAUUUUUGAACACAUAUUGGGAGUGUUCUGUUUUCUGCUCAGCCUAGACACGGUUUGGUAAGUUGUCCAUGAGAAUAUAUACUCCCAAGAAAGAAGUUGCAAAUAUUCUGGCUUAUCCUUCUCUGACAUGACACACAGGAGUCCGCAGAAGCAUGCACAGCUCUAUGUAUUUUAAACAGCAGGCACCCUGUUAGGAGCUCUCCUGACAUGGAUCUGGGGCCCCCAGGGGCUGGACAGGUGCCUUAGGGGUGGCACCUGUCUCCAUUCCUAUGUGACCUAUCUAUACCUGAACUACAGUUGGCUGGCAGAGCGAGUAGGUCCUUGUGCUCAUGCCUGCUGUCCCAGUGUCACCCUUUCUUCUAUUUGGACAGGGGCAGGGGAGAGGACUCCUCCAAAAGUUGCCAAGAGGGUGCCGUCCACCAUUUUGGAGCCAGAUUGGACAGUCGUUGGCGUUUUUUCCUCAGCAAAAGGCGGAGGGAGUGGACCUGGGGGAAGGGCAGGCGUGCAUUUGUGGUGCAACAGUGCCAUCCAGAGGAAACUGUUUGGUGCUCCUGGGAAAGCAGGCCUGGGGUUUCCUGGGAAGGAGUGGCUUGGGAGUGCAAUCUGGGGCUAGUAGGAACAGGGGAUGGGACCCCGCAGAGAGAUCAAAGCUAUGAGGAGGCCUUGGGAAGAGUGGGCCAUGGCGGGUUGGGCUGUGGAAGCACUAGGGACAGGCAGCAGGCGGGGUGGAUGACCAGUCGCCUGUCGGACCUGUACAGGAAGUCCGGGCUGCGUAGCUGGUGGCAGCCAUGUCUGGGUGGGACUAGUAGGAGCCUGUAUUAGGGAACAAGGCCUCAAGGCUAUGAGAAGCUUGUGUUCUUCUUCGUUGCCUGUUGUCAUACUCACACUAAGGUGUCACUGAAUGCAUUCUUGCAGAUAACUAUUCUUACUGUUCCAAGUCUUAUUGCCAAGUGAGCAUUUGCAUGAGUCUCUUCCUCAUUUACCUUACCUAAAUUUCACGAGAGCCUCAGGCAAUGACCAGGAGCAUCCUGUGUUUCCUGGUACCCUAUAUAUCUCUGGGUCUCAACCUUGUGCUUGCUCAGGAAGGUUGCAAUCAACAAGGUCUGGUGACCGCAUGUAAUUGUUAUCGUGUUGGCUUCAGUCACGGUCUCUCAUUCCUUUCCUAAUUUUUUUGUCCCUGUUUAUCUAUCUACAAUCCCCUUCGUUCUUGAGUUUCUCAGAUCAGUCACCCAGAUCAGUCAGACCUGCCAAGGCCAGAAAUGAUAUGAAAUACUCCUGGGCACACAGGGCUUUCUCAUGGACCUUUAUGACCUAUGGCCUGCUACUGGAGAACCACUGUCGUGGUCAUACUCUGUGCCAGUUCCCACCUGCCUGUAUCUGUGCUACCUCUUCAACGCUAGCCCAAGGACACAGUAGGCCCAGAACUGCACUCCUUUUCUUUCAUACCUACUGGAUGAUUUCUAAAAGUUAUUGCUGGGUCUCCAGUACUUCGCACUCACUAGUUUCCUGAAUUCAUGUGCAGGCCAUCCAUAUGCACUGAGCCUUUGGGACAACUGACCUAUUUCUCUGUUGAUGAACUGGUCAGGGUAUGGACCUAGAGGAUGUGAUCACACCCCUACCAAAAUCUGUGAGUGUGUUGGUCUUGUUACAAUAAGUCUUACAGCGGUUGGUUGGGAGGACAAACCGAGGAGCACACGGAGAGUUGGAGAACCAUAGUUUAUUCACCAGGGGGCUCAGAGGAGCCUUGCCACCAAAUUCUGAGCCCCAUCUACUGGGUUUCUUCCACUUUUAUUAGGUUAGGGUAUUCCGAGUGGUGGGGUCUCAGGUGGCUGAUGCAGUAGGUAAUCAUGACUGCUGAAGCCAGGUGAUAGGUUAGUAUUAUGUUGAUGAAGGUCUUCCUUAUUAGACUCUGUGUGCUCCAUUACCCCUGGCAGUACUCUGGGAAAGCCAGACCCAAAGAACAUACUGCUCCGCAUUUGUUACCCCAGGUAUAUUUAAUUAGGCGAGAACCCGGUCACGCCACUGCAGGUCAGGGAACAGGGGACGUUUGGAAUGUCCCCCAACUGUAAUGCAUGAGCAAUACAGACCCGUGUCCUCCAGCUCCAGAGAACGGAGGCCAUGUUUACUUGUAGAACCCUGGGGGAUGCUGCUGCGCUUUGUACAAUGGGAGAAGAUGCAUAGCAUGCCAUCCUGUGGGGCCUGUGAUGCAGACUUUCUCUGACAGGAGCGAAAGGAAUCAACCAGAACUUCAGGGGACCAUGCACCGUGUUAGCAUUUCUUAUUUUGUUCUAGUACCCUGUAAUGAGGAUAUCUAUCCUUUCUACAAGAGACUGCCCAUGACAUUCUUGCACUGGCUCCUCCUCUUUACUUGAGUCGGCCUAGGUUUUCUAGAUGGACCCUUAAGUCCCGAUUUCCUGGCAGCUCUGACUGCCAGGAGUGUGUCCCACUUAAUGCCACAAUGUUUCCCCUGUACGGGCAGGAAAGAUCCAACACUAAAUUCCCUGUGGUAGUUUCCCACACAGGUUCCCAAACAUGGCGGCCGUCAGUGACUGGACUCCAGGGACUCUGAAGCCUGGCAGGCCUGGCAGCCAAGGGCUCCUUGGUAGCCCAGCCUGACUCUUCCUCUCUCAUAAAACCAGGGGUUUCCCAGUGGGGUCAGCAGGUGCAGCCCCAGAAUUCGCCCAUUUCCCCAAACUUACCCUUCCUCCUCUCAGAGGCCUCCUGUCAGUGUAUACAGAGACUAGCUGGAAGCCAUACUCAAAAAGAUUCCUCUUGGUGGCAGUGUCGCUCCAGAAAUGCCCACAUUUUGUCCUCCCAGGCCCUCCCUCCACCCUUUAUAGGUGAAAAAACACCAAAUAAAGCUCAAAAGGGAUUCAAGCCCUAAGAGUGGGGUUUAUUCUUUUCAGGUGUGUGGAAGAAGGUGUCUCUUUUUUUCAGGCUCUAGGUGUGGAAUAUAAAUGUGUGAAAAUGUUCAUCCAAAAGUGUAGAUAUAUUGGUUUAUGAAUCAAUACAUCAUCCCUUCAUAAGCUUUGAGCCAGAAUUUACUAUAAGGAGGUACUCAGUUUUCUGGUCACACCUGUGGGUAUUAUAAGGUUCCCCUAAUUAGGUGGCAUGCUCCUUAAGGGAGUAUAGACUCAUAGUUGAACAAUGGCUGAGUAUCUAGGUUUCCUCUCUUAAGCUGCAUUCUUUCCUCAGGGAGCCAGGACUAGCGGCAAGAAGCCAAGCCUAACACAAUCCAGGAGCAAACUGCCUUAGGAGUAUUCUAGAGAAGGAGUAGCAGGAGGCCACUGUGGGAGCAGCAGGAAUUGACAGGGGCCAUGUGAGGGGACAACACUAGAAGGUCGUAGCGCUGGGUCACCCACAGGGAUUCAGGUAGUCACUCCCCAUUGAGCAGCCCAGAUUGGGGUUCCAAGGCUCAUGUGGGGAACCCAGUGGUUCUACACAUGUAGGAGGCCUCUAUAUGGGCCUUUGGUUCUGCAGCCCCUCGUGGCAAACUCUACAUGGAAUUGUGGCUGUGCUGUCCACUCACCCCACACAUUCAUUCACACAAUCAUUCAUGCGUGCAUACACACAAACUGUCUUCACUAAAUAAGUGUAUAUUUUUCCCUUUUCCUUUUCUAUAUUCUUUCUCCCCAUGACAACCUUGGGAAUACCACUUUGGAUAUUGAUUUCUCCCAGUUAAAGAUGCAACCAUUUCCAUUAUGUAAUGUCCAAAUUAUGCCUUUGUCUUCUACUCUUGUUACCAUCCCUCCCUAGAGCGAGAAGUAGAUGCCAAUUUUCUCCGGUGUGUGUUUGUAUCUUGUGUCUUAUGCAUAUGAAUGAAUGUGGAAGUUUGUCUGCUUUCAUACUUCUCUCCAACGCCACCAGGCUGCUAUGGAAUAAAACACAUGUGCUUUGGCCUUUGCACAUGUGUGCAGAGUCAACAUCCAGCCAGAUCCUUUCUAUUUCCCCUGUAACCACUGCCUGGGGUGAUAGCAGCAGGAUCGUUUGCUUACCAUGUCUAUUCAUUUUGGACACUUGGGUUCUGUUUUCCUCAUUCCCAUCUUUUAUUUGAAAGAGAUCUGACCUUGUUGUCUGUUAAGUCCCAUUUCCUGACCAGGUGAGGAUGUGUGACUGAGAGGUACAUGGAGUCUUCUCUGUGUCUUCCCAGAAACCAGCUGCUGAGUACAAUGAGACGCAGCAGACUCCAAGAAUGAUUUGCCGUCAUCCCUAGAAAGUCAUUGUGGUGGAUCUGUGUGCAGCCAGACUGCAGAUACCUGCUUCUUGUUCCUUUUCUAGCCAGAUGAGCUACCAGUCCUUCGAGGAUGUGUUACUCCAUUAAUAUGAGCAUCAAGGGAAUAAGUGUCAUUGGAGCCAACACAGUGUCCAAACUGGAUGAAGGACAGGGCCACCUGCAGAUACACAGCUAAAGCCUCAUAGGAAUGAAUGUGAUUGGAGUCAACACAGUGUCCAUCCAGGAUGAAGGCCGGUGCCACCUGUAGAUAUAGAGCUAAAGGGGGUGAGCGGGAUUGGAGUCAACACAGUGUCUAACCAGGAUGAAGGAAAGGAUGAUGCCACCUGGAGAUACAGAGCUAAAGAAUCCACAGAAGCACGCACACUUCUAUGUGUUUUGCACAGCAAGAUUCCUGGUGGGAGCUGUCUCAACAUGGACCUAGGCUGGGCGCGAGGAAAACAGGCCAUCUAUAUGCGCUGAGACUUUGGGACAACUGACCUAUUUCUCUGUUGAUGAACUGGUCAGGGUAUGGAUCUAGAAGAUGUGAUCACACCCCCACCAAAAACUCCUCAUGGUGAUGAGUGGCAUUGGAGUCAACACAAGGUCCUAACAGGAUGAAGGACACGGUCACCUGCAGAUACACAGCUAAAGGGGACUAUUCCGGUAGAACUGUCUCUUUGUGACAACCCUGAAUGCCAUCUGCAAUUUCCAAGAGGGUGACUUGAUUGGGAGACAUUUCUCUUUAUGGAAGAGGAAGCCUAAGAUGACCCUACCAGAAAGAGCCCUGCAGGAUGGAGGACCCAUUGUGAGAACUGAGAGCCAUCAGGAUUCAGCCAGGAUAGACAUUGGUUGGCACUUUUUUCAGUAGCAAAUAGUGGAGUAACAGGAUAUCAGAAAGUGCGUGAAGGGCAUGCUACCAUUUCUGGUGCAGUAUUGCCAUCAAGAGGGUCAUCUUUGCCAAUUCCAUAUCCCUCUUCUUUAUCACUGGUUCCUGGGAAGCACAGAAAUUGGGGUAAAGUCGGAAUUCCAGGUAGCACAACAGGGCCCUCUGUGGAUUCAGAGAUGCAUGGGGGAAGUGUGUUCUGUGGCCAGUCUGAGCUUUGGAAGCUCCAGAGACAUGCAGUAGGACUAGGUGGAGACCCAGGGUGCCUGUCCUAUAGGGUGCAGGAAGCCCAGCAUCAGAGCCCAGUGGCAGCCAUAUCUGGGUGAGACUAGCUGAAACCUCAGCCAAGAAGCCCCACUUGGGGCUGUAGGAUUUUUGCUUCCUGCCUUUUUGCAGCCUGUAGUUGUGAGGCCAGGGGUUGCUGGCACUUUGCCAGAGGCCUCUCCUCAGUGCUACAGGUCCUAUACCCAAGGGAAGCAGGCUUCUAUGCCGCAGCCUUUGUAGCCUUCUCCUUUCUUGGCCACCUUCCCCAAAAGUCCUGGGAGCAUCAGGGCAAUGAGCAGAGGUGUCCCUUGCUUUCCAUUCACCCCUGGCUAUCCAUGUCCCAACCCUAUACUUCAUUCUCAGGAGACCCUGCCUAAUCUCACCACUCUUAGGUUCAGAUACUACCUCCCUUUCCCCACCACCUCCCAUUUUUCCCUGUGUGCCCAGCCCCUAUCACCCCAUGUUCCCCAGAUGCACUCCCCUUCAAUCAGACCUGCCAACGACGUACAUACACCUGGGCACACAGCCCUUUCUCAUAGACCUUGACCAACCAAUAGCUACUUCUGGAGAACCCCUGGGGUACAUCAAGCCUUUUGCCAGCUCCUACCUGCCUGAGCUAUGCUCCCUGGUCAGCGCUUGCCCAAGGGUCAGGAAGGAAGACUUAAGGCCUAGCACCUCACCCCUUUCCUUUCACAACUCCUAGAUGGGUGCUGAAAAGUCCUCCUUGCCUCCCUCCAUUUCACAUACGUGAGUUUCCCUGUGUGUCGCCCGGUGGUCUUACAUGAGCGGAGCCUUUUAGGACUGAAGGACCUUUUAUUUGCCAAGCCCUAGGUUAAGGUGUGGACCUAAAGGAUCUGAUUGGUCUGUAACAGAGUAGUCACCCCUCCUCCCAUAGAUAUGGAAGCUUAAAUUUGAUAGUGGGAAUAUGUAACAGAGGGAAUGGCCUGAAAUUGGCCUGGAAAAAAAAAGUCAAAAAGAUGUUUUCUGUCUCUUUAAAACUCUCCCCACUCAUUUUGAGAACUGAAGCCUGUAUCCCUGCCUCAGGCAGGUGGCCAGAAUGGGCCUGGGUAAUCAGCCAUCACUGGCACCAGCCUCCCAGGUGGGCAGCUGGCAGAGAUCACAGGCUUUGUCUUUGGCAGAGAUCGGGCAAUUAGAAUAGUUACCACAAUAGCCCAGAACUGAGGGGCACUCUCUUUGAAAGCUCUGUAUUUCUGAUUGUGUUCAGGAAAUUUGGAUUUUGAGAUGAGAACGUCUACCAUUUUUCCUUCUUUGUUGGCAAAGUAAUAAACUUCUCUUUCCUUCUCCCCAAACCACUAUUCUCCUUCUUCUGAUGUGGCCUUGACGAUAAGUGCCGAGCUUUCAGUAACAGGUCCCCAGUCCAAAGCUGUGAGUAUGGUGGUCUCAGUGUGCUCCUUAGUCAUGGGGCAACCCUGUGGGACAGCCAGACCCAGAUAACUUAGACCUCUACAUGUCUGAACCCAAGUGUCUUACCCAAGGAGACAAACAAGGUCAUAAUCCCAAAGGCUGGGGAUCAGGAAGACAUCAUCACUGGAAUGUUUCUAAACUGAAUUGUAUGCAUAAUACAGACCUGAGCCCCCCAACUCCAGAGGAUGAGAGCCAACUUGACCUACCCAUUCCCAGCAAGUACCAGCACUAUCUGCGCUAUGGGAGAAGAUGCUUGGAAUGCCAUCCUGUGGGGCCUGUGACCCAGACUUUCUUUGACAGGAGUAAGAAGACACCAGAAAACAUGAGCUGCAAUGCACCUACGUUACUGUUUUUUUAUCUUAGUGUAGUACCUAAUAAUGAGGAAAUUCUCCAUCUUCUCUAGAAGAGGCUGCCCUUGGCAGUGUAGCCGUGGCUGUCUCCUAUUUACUUGGCUGGGCCUGUGCCCUCCAGAUGGGCCAUCAGGUCCUGGUUUUCCUGUGACACACUCCUAGGACAAUGCCCCUCUCUUCUUUCCCCAACCUUGUUCCUGCACCAAGAGCAAAGAUCCAGAGGCAAAUGCCCUGCAGUCACUUCAGCUCCAGGUUCCUAAGACCUGGCUUCCAUAGCGUCUGGAACCUGGCAGCCCAGGGCUCCUUGGUAGUUGGCCUGUCCCAGUCACUUUUACACAAUUCUGGAUUUGCUGAGUGGGUGGCUUGAUCCAGCUCCAGAAUUCCCAGAGUGCCCCAAACCUACCCUUCGUCCUCUCAGAGGCCUUUCCCUCUGGAUACACAAAGAAGGGCUGGAAGCCAUGCUCAGAAAUCUUCCACUUGAUGGCAUUGUUGCAUCCGAAAUAUCAACCGCCCUAGCCAUCCCGGCUUCUCCCUUUGCCCUUUGUGAAUGAAAAAAUGCUAAGAAGACCCAAAAGCUAUUUGAGCCCUAGAAUUGGGAUGCUGGGCAAAGUGGUAUCCAUUCCUCUCAGGCUCUUAGUAAAAACAUAAAUGCACUAAAACAUUCAUCAAAAGGAGGAUGUAUUGAUGUAUCCAUUGCUACAUCAUCUCCUAUGAGCUCUAAUGGGAAUAUCACCUAAAGGGGUCUUCAGUUCUCUGGGCACCCUUGUCAGUGUUAUCUGUGUUGUCUUGGCUACAAUUGUUGCUCUCAAGGGACAUUGGCUCAUAACUUGAGAUGGGCUGAGUACCUGGAUUUCCCCUCUUACUCUGGAGUCAUUGCCUCUUAUGUAUUCUCAUGGAGCCAGGCCGAGUCCAGCCCAGCCCAAAAGCCUCAUCCAGCUUAAGGCCUGAGGAGCAGGCCUGAGAGGGAGUAGUAAGCCAUAGUGGGGGCAGCAGAAAGUGACAGAGGCCAUGUCAGUUGAGAUGACUGGGAGGGUAACUGGCUGGCUCACCUCAGUGGGUCUCAGGUUGCUCGAGGCGGAAUGACGUGGAUUUGAAGAACUUGGUAUUCAGUUAUUUUUUGCUCCCACCCUCUCUAUGCAGGAGUAAUUAUGUUGGCCUAGGUUGACCAAAGAUCCUAUAAUUCUUCUUGACCAUUUGGACCCUAGCAAAAUAUUUAGGGAAUUCCCUCUUCCUUUUGCUUCCAUUUCUAGGGGUGGAGGCUCCUGUUGUUUUAUAUCCUUUUCCAAUUGCAAGUGAGCUGAUGAGACUUCUAGGGGCUCAGGUGAAGCAUGGAAGUGUUGACCCAAAUAAGUGACUGAGGCAAAAAUCUCAACUAAGGGGGGGUUAUUAAAGAUGUGCCUGAGAAAAAUAUGAACCACAGACAGACUUGUGGCUGUUUUUCUGAAGGGGAAGUUGGAAGCUUCAGUAUUUAAAGGCAUACAGAGAGAAAGAAAAAAAGCAAGGGAAGAGGGGUUGGUGAGGCAAAAUGGUUACAUUCAAAUCUAUAUUUUAUGUAAAAUAAGGGGAAUGUUAGAAGUAAAAAGGGAAUGAAGGAAGCAUCAGUUAUGUAGAUGUCCCUGGGUAGGUAGAAUGCCUGAUCCUGUAUGUCUCCUGUUUGGUUACCUGUAAAGAUAAACUUGUAAUUUAUUAUUAGUGUGGAAUUAAACAGGCUUUAGUUUUCGGUUCUAGGCAUAAUUACAAUUUGUCCUUGCUUAUGGGAGUUCAGCAAGGAAUGUCCUUAAUGAAUGAUCUGUGGGGCCUGUUCUUCACAGGUGCC